rnacentral:rRNA from 1 species
GACGAACGCUGGCGGCGUGCCUAAUACAUGCAAGUCGAGCGCAGGAAGCUGACGGAACUCUUCGGAGGGAAGGCAGUGGAAUGAGCGGCGGACGGGUGAGUAACACGUAAGGAACCUGCCUCAAGGAUUGGGAUAACUCCGAGAAAUCGGAGCUAAUACCGGAUAGUUCAACGGACCGCAUGGUCCGAUGAUGAAAGGCGCUCCGGCGUCACCUUGAGAUGGCCUUGCGGUGCAUUAGCUAGUUGGUGGGGUAACGGCCCACCAAGGCGACGAUGCAUAGCCGACCUGAGAGGGUGAUCGGCCACACUGGGACUGAGACACGGCCCAGACUCCUACGGGAGGCAGCAGUAGGGAAUCUUCCACAAUGGACGAAAGUCUGAUGGAGCAACGCCGCGUGAGUGAUGAAGGUUUUCGGAUCGUAAAACUCUGUUGUAAGGGAAGAACACGUACGAGAGGGAAUGCUCGUACCUUGACGGUACCUUACGAGAAAGCCACGGCUAACUACGUGCCAGCAGCCGCCGUAAGAC